UGUCAUUGUUUUGACAUGGUGUGACAUUUGUUUGACAGUGUUGUGACAUUGUAUUGAUGAUAGUGUGAUGUUGUUUGGGUGUAGUGAGACAUCUUUACAAUGUUUUUUUUUUAAACAUGGUGCGACAUUGUUUUGACAGUGGUGUGGUAUAUUUGGACAUAGUGUGACAUUGUUUUGACAGUGGUGUGGUAUAUUUGGACAUAGUGUGACAUUGUUUUGACAGUGGUGUGGUAUAUUUGGACAUAGUGUGACAUUGUUUUGAUGUUAGUGUGAUGUUGUUUGGAUGUUUUGACAUUUUUACAGUUUUUUUUUUCUCGGACAUGGUGUGACAUUUUUUGACAGUGGUGUAAUAUUUUUGACAGUAGUGUGACAUUGUUUUGACACUGAUGUUUAUUCUGUAGCAAAGACAGUGGGAGGAAGAGCAGUUGAAAUGUCAUUGUUUUGACAUGGUGUGACAUUGUUUUGACAUGGUGUGACAUUGUUUUGACACUGAUGUUUAUUCUGUAGCAAAGACAGUGGGAGGAAGAGCAGUUGAAAUGUCAGGUGAAGUUUGAAGAGGCUCAGAUAGACCCUGCCCCCUUCCAGCUAGUGGAGAGGACUUCCUUACAGAAAGUUCACUCUCUGUUCUCACUGCUAGGCCUGAACCAUGCCUAUGUCACCAAUACAGGGAGGUUGGUAGGAGUAGUUGCACUUAAAGAGGUAAACACAUAUCAACAUGUUACUAUCAUAACUAUAUAAUACUGUAAACUUGAACCAUGCCUAUGUCACCAAUACAGGGAGGUUGGUAGGAGUAGUUGCACUUAAAGAGGUGAGGAGGGCCAUUGAGGGCCAGGUAGAAGAAGACCAUGAACUUAUGCGGACACACAAGCGUGGCAGCACGGUGGAACUGGAGAUGGAAGUGCGGGAACGGUCGGAUAGUGAGGCUUGAACUACAUCAACUCAUCAGAUAGUGAGGCGUAAAUAAUAAUUGCUCAUGGUCAGUUUGGGGCAGAAAGGAAAGUGAAGCACAUGGAAACUGAAAUAUUUUAUCAGGACAUGAAAUAUGCCAGAAGACAGUGAAGAGAACAUUACUAGGAGCUGUGUACCAGUAGAGAGAGAGGAGAGUAUGAACUCUUAACAUUGGUGCUGUGGUCAGAAUACUUGGUGUUUACCAUGUACCCCCCUCUCACUGCUGACAUACUGCAUUUAGAGAGUUAUCAAAAUAAAGAACAAAGAGCUAUGGCAUGUCAUGAUAGUCCAUGACUUGACAGUCAGUGUCAUGGUAACCAUUGCCAUGACAAUAUGCCAUGACAGUGCAUGACCUGACAUUCAGUAUAUGGUAAUUGUUG